GAUGCUGAUGAAGAGUUUCCUUCGACAAUAAAAUCAUAAAAAUUGAACAUUUUGCCGUAGCAUCAUUUGAAGAAUGCUAUUUUGGAUCGAAUUGGAUUGAAAAGUAGAUAUCUUUAUCUGCAGCUAAACUAUUAAUUUUUGAGAGAAGGUUGUCGGCAUCUCUGAUGAGAGAAAGAAAGGACUGAAGGAAGGAAAGGACUGAAGGAAGGAAAGGACUGAAGGAAGGAAAGGACUGAAGGACUCCCUCUGACAAAUACGCCGCUGCACGUUAUGAAUGCUUGAUGAUGGCGUUUCACGACUCACGUUGCGUUCUUGGAAAAGGGAUUGUAAAGGUUGAGGGGAAGAUUCUCCGUCCUUUUACCCGACCAUGUCCUGGAGUGCUUACCUAUGUCCUCCCCACUACGAUGCUCUCUUUCCACCACCUUCGUCCUCGUCGUCGUCGUCGUCGUCGCCACGAUCCUUUCCUCGGUUACCGCCAAUCAUCGACGAGAAACGCAGCGAGAGGUGAAGCGAAACCCUCUCUUUGUCGCCCGACUCGAUCGCUACUGAACUACUACAUCAAGACAAUACGAACUGGGAGAAUGCCCAGGACGGAAUACAGGAGGAUCCAAUUUCGAAUCCCGGC